AUAGGAGGUCCCGCCUGCCCUGUGACCAAAAGUUUAACGGCCGCGGUAUUUUAACCGUGCAAAGGUAGCGCAAUCAAUUGUCUUUUAAAUGGAGACCUGUAUGAAUGGCAUAACGAGGGUUUUACUGUCUCUUUUUUCUGGUCAAUGAAACUGAUCUGCCCGUGCAGAAGCGGGCAUAAUAACACAAGACGAGAAGACCCUAUGGAGCUUUAGACGCCCACCAACCGCGAAGAGCACCCCGACGACGGGCCACCAAAUAACGCGACCAUGGUAUAAACGUCUUCGGUUGGGGCGACCACGGGGGAACACAAAGCCCCCGAGAGGAUUGGGGAUCCAACCCUAAAACCAAGAGCCACAGCUCUAAGUCACAAAACAUUUGACCCAGAAUGAUCCGGCUCAUUGCCGAUCAACGGACCAAGUUACCCUAGGGAUAACAGCGCAAUCCUCUCCCAGAGUCCAUAUCGACGAGGGGGUUUACGACCUCGAUGUUGGAUCAGGACAUCCUAAUGGUGCAGCCGCUAUUAAGGGUUCGUUUGUUCAACGAUUAAGUCCUACGUGAUCUGA
rnacentral:rRNA from 1 species